AACGCACAUUGCGCCCAUUAGUAUUCUAGUGGGCAUGCCUGUUCGAGCGUCAUUUCGACCCUUAAGCCCUGUUGCUUAGUGUUGGGAGCCUACCUACCCUGUAGCUCCUCAAAGUUAGUGGCGGAGUCGGGUUACACUCUAAGCGUAGUAAUAUUUUCUCGCUUGUGUAGUUGUCUCGGUUCCUGCCGUAAAACACCUAUAUUUAUCUAGGUUGACCUCGGAUCAGGUAGGAAUACCCGCUGAACUUAA
rnacentral:misc_RNA from 1 species